CCGGAAGGGGAGUGAAACAGUUCCUGAAACCGUGUGCCUACAAGUAGUUAGAGCCCGUUAAUGGGUGAUAGCGUGCCUUUUGUAGAAUGAACCGGCGAGUUACGAUUUGUUGCAAGGUUAAGCGGAAAAAGCGGAGCCGUAGCGAAAGCGAGUCUGAAUAGGGCGCAUAAGUAACAGGUCGUAGACCCGAAACCAGGUGAUCUACCCAUGUCCAGGAUGAAGGUAAGGUAAUACUUACUGGAGGUCCGAACCCACGCACGUUGAAAAGUGCGGGGAUGAGGUGUGGGUAGCGGAGAAAUUCCAAUCGAACUUGGAGAUAGCUGGUUCUCUCCGAAAUAGCUUUAGGGCUAGCCUCGAGGUAAAGAGUCAUGGAGGUAGAGCACUGUUUGGACUAGGGGCCCUUCUCGGGUUACCGAAUUCAGAUAAACUCCGAAUGCCAUGUACUUAUACUCGGGAGUCAGACUGCGAGUGAUAAGAUCCGUAGUCGAAAGGGAAACAGCCCAGACCACCAGUUAAGGUCCCCAAAUAUAUGUUAAGUGGAAAAGGAUGUGGGGUUGCUUAGACAACCAGGAUGUUGGCUUAGAAGCAGCCACCAUUGAAAGAGUGCGUAAUAGCUCACUGGUCGAGUGACCCCGCGCCGAAAAUGUACCGGGGCUAAACAUAUUACCGAAACUGUGGAUGAACCUCUUUAGAGGUUCGUGGUAGGAGAGCGUUCUAAGGGCGGUGAAGUCAGACCGGAAGGACUGGUGGAGCGCUUAGAAGUGAGAAUGCCGGUAUGAGUAGCGAAAGAAGGGUGAGAAUCCCUUCCACCGAAUAUCUAAGGUUUCCUGAGGAAGGCUCGUCCGCUCAGGGUUAGUCGGGACCUAAGCCGAGGCCGAUAGGCGUAGGCGAUGGACAACAGGUAGAGAUUCCUGUACCAGUGCUAAUUGUUUAACCGAUGGGGUGACACAGAAGGAUAGGGAAUCGCACGAAUGGAAAUGUGCGUCCAAGCAGUGAGUGUGAG
rnacentral:rRNA from 1 species